AGAGAGGUUGAAGAAGGUGGUUGAAACAGAUAGAAUGGGAGCAGAGUGGUGAAGUGAAGAAUGGUUGAAGAUGGUGUGGAAGCGAAGUGAAGAUGAAGUGUGUGGCUGGUAGUUGAAGAUGAGAAAAUGGUGGAGACAUUCUGAUUUAUAGCAGGGCUUGUAAUUUCUUGACGCAGCAGGUAGUUCAUUUGUUGAAACUGAUUGUAUCAUGCAGGUUUGCAGGUCAUAAUUAAUGCUAGCAAAGACAUGGUUUGAAAGGCGUAUCGAGGGGAUGUCACGUGAAACAAGGCUAAGG